GCAAUACCAGCCGCAGCGGUAGCAGCAGCGGCGGCGGCGAGCUUAAUUGCCGCGCAAAGACCAGAAACUUCGCAUAUGAAAUUCCAUGAAUUUGCGUUCGGGGAACGGAAAUUGCAAACAACAAAUAUUUAUCUAUCAACAAAAAAUUUGCAGCCUCAGGGAGCUCGUCCAACAGGUAACAAAUUUGAUCCUCGAUUUUCUCCCCACGCUGUUCAACUUUCUGCAAUAAAUCCAAGGAAUGACAAGAGAACGGUGAAAAAGGAUCGAAAGAAAUCACGCCCUAUUUUAUCGCGGUAUAUAUCAUCCGGUAAAUUUUCGGACCUCAUUUUGUCAAAUUCCAUCAUACGAGACCGUGAGACAUGAGAAGUUGCAAUACGUUAUUCUCGGGGUAAUCCCAAACGCGUUAAUAAAUUACCGUUUAUGAAUAUUAAUAAACCUGAAUAAAAAGUUCGAUCACA